CAUUCUCAGUUCGGAUUGUAGGCUGAAACUCGCCUACAUGAAGCUGGAGUUACUGGUAAUCGCAGAUCAGAAUGCUGCGGUGAAUGCGUUCCCGGGUCUUGUACACACCGCCCGUCACACCACGGAAGUUGGGGGCGCCCGAAGCCACUUAGCUAACCCUUUUGGGAAGCGAGCGUCGAAGGUGAAAUCAAUAACUGGGGUGAAGUCGUAACAAGGUACC
rnacentral:rRNA from 1 species